UGGGGGAUCGUCUAGUGGUAGGACAGCUGACUCUGAAUCAGUAGGCGGGGGUUCGAAUCCUCCUCCCCCAGCCA
rnacentral:tRNA from 1 species